AAAGAGUAAGUAGAUUAAACACAACUG
rnacentral:piRNA from 1 species